rnacentral:rRNA from 1 species
GACAGAGGGUGCAAACGUUGUUCGGAAUUACUGGGCGUAAAGCGCGUGUAGGCGGCUAUGUAAGUCGGGCGUGAAAUCCCACGGCUCAACCGUGGAAGUGCACCCGAAACUGCGUAGCUAGAGUCCUGGAGAGGAAGGCGGAAUGCUUGGUGUAGAGGUGAAAUUCGUAGAUAUCAAGCGGAACACCGGUGGCGAAGGCGGCCUUCUGGACAGUGACUGACGCUGAGACGCGAAAGCGUGGGGAGCAAACAGG